GGAUGACCUGUGGCUGGGGGUGAAAGGCCAAUCAAACCGGGAGAUAGCUGGUUCUCCCCGAAAGCUAUUUAGGUAGCGCCUCGUGAAUUCAUCUCCGGGGGUAGAGCACUGUUUCGGCUAGGGGGCCAUCCCGGCUUACCAACCCGAUGCAAACUGCGAAUACCGGAGAAUGUUAUCACGGGAGACACACGGCGGGUGCUAACGUCCGUCGUGAAGAGGGAAACAACCCAGACCGCCAGCUAAGGUCCCAAAGUCAUGGUUAAGUGGGAAACGAUGUGGGAAGGCCCAGACAGCCAGGAUGUUGGCUUAGAAGCAGCCAUCAUUUAAAGAAAGCGUAAUAGCUCACUGGUCGAGUCGGCCUGCGCGGAAGAUGUAACGGGGCUAAACCAUGCACCGAAGCUGCGGCAGCGACGCUUAUGCGUUGUUGGGUAGGGGAGCGUUCUGUAAGCCUGUGAAGGUGGCCUGUGAGGGUUGCUGGAGGUAUCAGAAGUGCGAAUGCUGACAUAAGUAACGAUAAAGCGGGUGAAAAGCCCGCUCGCCGGAAGACCAAGGGUUCCUGUCCAACGUUAAUCGGGGCAGGGUGAGUCGACCCCUAAGGCGAGGCCGAAAGGCGUAGUCGAUGGGAAACGGGUUAAUAUUCCCGUACUUGGUGUUACUGCGAAGGGGGGACGGAGAAGGCU
rnacentral:rRNA from 1 species